rnacentral:misc_RNA from 1 species
GGUUUUCUCACUGGCAUAACAGAUAAAAACACUAGAAAUAUGUUUCCAUAUAUCUGAGGCUAGUAAUUUACAAUAAGAUCAAAACUACCACCUAAUUAGAACAAAAACCAGCAAAAAGAGAAACAGAAACAUAAUAGGUCUUUGCAUCCAUAAAGGAACAUUAAAGAAACGCCCUUCUAACUAACCCAUCUACCUGAACUUCAUUCGUUUUCUGGCAGCAGAAGUAGGAGCAGCUCGUGACUUGCCAAAGUUCUUCUUCUUCCUCUUCUCAUCCUCGCUAUCUGAUUCAUUAAUUUCCCUGUCUGCAUAGCUUGCUUCUUUCUCCAGCUCUUCCCAUGUUUUACCUUUUUCUUCCUCUGAAUCUUCAUCAUCAUCCUCUUCUUCAUCAUCUUCAGAGUCAACCAGAGAUUCCCUGUCUGCAUAGCUUGC